rnacentral:rRNA from 1 species
UACAGAGGCCUCGAGCGUUGUUCGGAAUUACUGGGCGUAAAGGGAAUGUAGGCGGUGACGUAAGUCAGAUGUGAAAGCCCUGGGCUUAACCCGGGAAGUGCAUUUGAUACUGCGUUGCUAGAGUGCGAAAGAGGAAAGUGGAAUUCCAGGUGUAGGGGUGAAAUCCGUAGAUAUCCGGAGGAACACCAGUGGCGAAGGCGACACGCUGGGCCAUACCUGACGCUAAAGCGCGACAGCAUGGGGAGCAAACGGG